GGGGAAUAUUGGGGCAAUGGGGGCGCAAGCCUGACCCAGCAACGCCGCGUGAGGGAAGAAGGUUUUCGGAUUGUAAACCUCUGUCCUUGGUGACGAAGGAAGUGACGGUAGCCAAGGAGGAAGCCCCGGCUAACUACGUGCCAGCAGCCGCGGUAAUACGUAGGGGGCGAGCGUUGUCCGGAAUGACUGGGCGUAAAGGGCGCGUAGGCGGCUUUUUAAGUUAGGAGUGAAAGUCCUGCUUUCAAGGUGGGAAUUGCUUUUAAUACUGGAAAGCUUGAGUGCAGAAGAGGUAAGUGGAAUUCCCAGUGUAGCGGUGAAAUGCGUAGAGAUUGGGAAGAACACCAGUGGCGAAGGCGACUUACUGGGCUGUAACUGACGCUGAGGCGCGAAAGCGUGGGGAGCAAACAGGAUUAGAUACCCUGGUAGU
rnacentral:rRNA from 1 species